rnacentral:rRNA from 1 species
AUUGAACGCUGGCGGCAGGCUUAACACAUGCAAGUCGAGCGGGGGAAGGUAGCUUGCUACUGGACCUAGCGGCGGACGGGUGAGUAAUGCUUAGGAAUCUGCCUAUUAGUGGGGGACAACAUCUCGAAAGGGAUGCUAAUACCGCAUACGUCCUACGGGAGAAAGCAGGGGAUCUUCGGACCUUGCGCUAAUAGAUGAGCCUAAGUCGGAUUAGCUAGUUGGUGGGGUAAAGGCCUACCAAGGCGACGAUCUGUAGCGGGUCUGAGAGGAUGAUCCGCCACACUGGGACUGGGACACGGCCCAGACUCCUACGGGAGGCAGCAGUGGGGAAGAUUGGACAAUGGGGGGAACCCUGAUCCAGCCAUGCCGCGUGUGUGAAGAAGGCCUUAUGGUUGUAAAGCACUUUAAGCGAGGAGGAGGCUACUCUAGUUAAUACCUAGGGAUAGUGGACGUUACUCGCAGAAUAAGCACCGGCUAACUCUGUGCCAGCAGCCGCCGCGG